rnacentral:rRNA from 1 species
GGAGGGUGCGAGCGUUGUCCGGAAUCACUGGGCGUAAAGGGCGCGUAGGCGGCGCGGUAAGCGUGCGGUGAAAGCCCGGGGCUCAACCCCGGGUCGGCCGUGCGGACUGCCGGGCUCGAGCACUGUAGAGGCGGGUGGAAUUCCGGGUGUAGCGGUGGAAUGCGUAGAGAUCCGGAAGAACACCGGUGGCGAAGGCGGCCCGCUGGGCAGUGGCUGACGCUGAGGCGCGACAGCGUGGGGAGCAAACAGGAUUAGAUACCCUGGUAGUCCACGCCGUAAACGAUGGGCACUAGGUGCUUCGGGGAGCGACCCUCGGGGUGCCGGCGCUAACGCAUUAAGUGCCCCGCCUGGGGAGUACGGCCGCAAGGCUG